rnacentral:rRNA from 1 species
UACGUAGGUGGCAAGCGUUAUCCGGAAUUAUUGGGCGUAAAGCGCGCGCAGGUGGUUUCUUAAGUCUGAUGUGAAAGCCCACGGCUCAACCGUGGAGGGUCAUUGGAAACUGGGAGACUUGAGUGCAGAAGAGGAAAGUGGAAUUCCAUGUGUAGCGGUGAAAUGCGCAGAUAUCAGGAGGAACACCCGUGGCGAAAGCGGCUCUCUGGGACGGUACUGACGCUGAGACGCGAAAGCGUGGGGAGCAAACAGG